UACGAAGGGGGCUAGCGUUGCUCGGAAUCACUGGGCGUAAAGCGCACGUAGGCGGCUUACUAAGUCAGGGGUGAAAUCCUGGAGCUCAACUCCAGAACUGCCUUUGAUACUGGUCGAGCUCGAGUCCGGGAAGAGGUGAGUGGAACUGCGAGUGUAGAGGUGAAAUUCGUAGAUAUUCGCAAGAACACCAGUGGCGAAGGCGGCUCACUGGCCGGUACUGACGCUGAGGUGCGAAAGCGUGGGGGAGCAAACAGGAUUAGAACC
rnacentral:rRNA from 1 species